GAUGAACGCUGGCGGCGUGCCUAAUACAUGCAAGUCGAGCGAACAGAUGAGGAUCUUGCUCCUCUGACGUUAGCGGCGGACGGGUGAGUAACACGUGGAUAACCUACCUAUAAGACUGGGAUAACUUCGGGAAACCGGAGCUAAUACCGGAUAAUAUAUUGAACCGCAUGGUUCAAUAGUGAAAGACGGUUUUGCUGUCACUUAUAGAUGGAUCCGCGCCGCAUUAGCUAGUUGGUAAGGUAACGGCUUACCAAGGCAACGAUGCGUAGCCGACCUGAGAGGGUGAUCGGCCACACUGGAACUGGGACACGGUCCAGACUCCUACGGGAGGCAGCAGUAGGGAAUCUUCCGCAAUGGGCGAAAGCCUGACGGAGCAACGCCGCGUGAGUGAUGAAGGUCUUCGGAUCGUAAAACUCUGUUAUUAGGGAAGAACAAAUGUGUAAGUAACUAUGCACGUCUUGACGGUACCUAAUCAGAAAGCCACGGCUAACUACGUG
rnacentral:rRNA from 1 species